rnacentral:tRNA from 1 species
GAGGCCUUAGCUUAAUUAAAGUAGUUGAUUUGCAGUCAGAAGAUGUAUUUUAAAGAUAUACAGGUCUUGC